AGUGGCUGUAAUAUUUCAGGUUACUAAAAAUGAACUGAACUGAAGACCAUAUUAGACCGCAUUGGCAGUUGCAUCCUUUCUUUGGUUUGAGAAGUUUUUCAGACUGGCAAAGUGAAUGCAGAUGCUUUUCAGAGGAGCUUUCUGCAAUAUGUGUACUGCAGCUCUGAAGAGGACCAACUUCUGGAAAAAGGAGCCAUUUGUCUGUCCAGCCUGUAGUCCUGAAACGGUGGCUGUUUCAGUGGAUGGCAACAGAAAACUCUACAGGUUCCAGAAAGCAAACCAGAGUGAAGAGCCAGGGUUUUUUGAUGGAGUGUUUUUAUCCCAAGACUCUGAGGUGUCC